rnacentral:rRNA from 1 species
AGCGAACGCUGGCGGCAGGCCUAACACAUGCAAGUCGAACGAACUCUUCGGAGUUAGUGGCGGACGGGUGAGUAACACGUGGGAACGUGCCUUUAGGUUCGGAAUAACUCAGGGAAACUUGUGCUAAUACCGAAUGUGCCCUUCGGGGGAAAGAUUUAUCGCCUUUAGAGCGGCCCGCGUCUGAUUAGCUAGUUGGUGAGGUAAAGGCUCACCAAGGCGACGAUCAGUAGCUGGUCUGAGAGGAUGAUCAGCCACAUUGGGACUGAGACACGGCCCAAACUCCUACGGGAGGCAGCAGUGGGGAAUCUUGCGCAAUGGGCGAAAGCCUGACGCAGCCAUGCCGCGUGAAUGAUGAAGGUCUUAGGAUUGUAAAAUUCUUUCACCGGGGACGAUAAUGACGGUACCCGGAGAAGAAGCCCCGGCUAACUACGUG